GCGCCAGCAAAAUCUGGCGCCGGGAUUGAGACCCCGGAAAUACACAUGGCGACACAGACGCGCCCGCGUCUUUUUU
rnacentral:sRNA from 1 species